rnacentral:rRNA from 1 species
UUCCAUGCUUCCAAGAAAAGCAUCUAGAGAGAGAAGUAGUGCCCGUACCGCAAACCGACACAGGUAGAUGAGGAGAGAAUCCUAAGGCCGGCGGAAGAAUUGCAGUUAAGGAACUAGGCAAAUUGACCCCGUAAGUUAGCGAGAAGGGGUGCCUGCGAGAGCAGGCCGCAGAGAAUAGGCCCAAGCAACUGUUUAGCAAAAACACAGGUCUCUGCUAAAGCGCAAGCUGAUGUAUAGGGGCUGACGCCUGCCCGGUGCUGGAAGGUUAAGGGGAACACUUAGCGCAAGCGAAGGUGUGAACUUAAGCCCCAGUAAACGGCGGCCGUAACUAUAACGGUCCUAAGGUAGCGAAAUUCCUUGUCAGGUAAGUUCUGACCCGCACGAAUGGCGUAAUAACUUGGGCACUGUCUCAACUGCAAAUCCGGCGAAGUUGUAGUGCGAGUGAAGAUGCCCGCUACCCGCGAUUGGACGGAAAGACCCCGUAGAGCUUUACUGUAGCUUAGCAUUGAAUUCCGGUGUUGUCUGUACAGGAUAGGUGGGAGACUGGGAAACUAGGGCGUCAGCCUUAGUGGAGUCGUCCUUGGGAUACCACCCUGACAGUACUGGGGUUCUAACAGGACGCCAUGAAUCUGGUGACUGGACAUUGUUAGGUGGGCAGUUUGACUGGGGCGGUCGCCUCCUAAAAAGUAACGGAGGCGCCCAAAGGUUCCCUCAGAACGGUCGGAAAUCGUUCGUAGAGUGCAAAGGCAGAAGGGAGCCUGACUGCGAGACCUACAAGUCGAGCAGGGACGAAAGUCGGGCUUAGUGAUCCGGUGGUACCUCGUGGGAGGGCCAUCGCUCAACGGAUAAAAGCUACCUCGGGGAUAACAGGCUGAUCUCCCCCAAGAGUCCACAUCGACGGGGAGGUUUGGCACCUCGAUGUCGGCUCGUCGCAUCCUGGGGCUGUAGUAGGUCCCAAGGGUUGGGCUGUUCGCCCAUUAAAGCGGCACGCGAGCUGGGUUCAGAACGUCGUGAGACAGUUCGGUCCCUAUCCGUCGCGGGCGUAGGAAAUUUGAGAGGAGCUGUCCUUAGUACGAGAGGACCGGGAUGGACUGACCUCUGGUGCACCAGUUGUUCUGCCAAGAGCAUGGCUGGGUAGCUAAGUCGGGAAGGGAUAAACGCUGAAAGCAUCUAAGCGUGAAGCCUCCCUCAAGAUGAGAUUUCCCAUAGCAUAAGCUAGUAAGACCCCUUGAAGAACACGAGGUUGAUAGGUCAGAGGUGUAAGUGUGGUAACAUAUUUAGCUGACUGAUACUAAUAGGCCGAGGGCUUGACC